CAUUUUUGCUUCUCUGCUCUACAGAUCUGAAAAAGAAAGGAAACUAGCCUGGAGCUGCUUUGGCACAUAAAACUACCUCAUAUUGUUCUUAAGAAACAGAGAAAAACAACAAUUUUUUUGACUUCUUUAAUUUUUUUCCCCUCUCUGCUUAUGGUGUUUCUGCUAACAGAUUCUGCAGAGAGGCCUUUAGCCUUUGGCUUCUAGCUUCUAUUCUCCGUGCUUCGUUUUGUCUAGC
rnacentral:misc_RNA from 1 species